ensembl:Y_RNA Y_RNA Y RNA
AGUUGGUCCGAGUGUCGUAGGUCAUUGUUAAGCUGAUUUAACAUUGUCUCCCCCUAUAACCACACCUGACUAUUAA